rnacentral:rRNA from 1 species
AGUGAACGCUGGCGGUAGGCCUAACACAUGCAAGUCGAACGGCAGCACAGUAAGAGCUUGCUCUUACGGGUGGCGAGUGGCGGACGAGUGAGGAAUACAUCGGAAUCUACUUUUUCGUGGGGGAUAACGUAGGGAAACUUACGCUAAUACCGCAUACGACCUACGGGUGAAAGCAGGGGAUCUUCGGACCUUGCGCGAUUGAAUGAGCCGAUGUCGGAUUAGCUAGUUGGCGGGGUAAAGGCCCACCAAGGCGACGAUCCGUAGCUGGUCUGAGAGGAUGAUCAGCCACACUGGAACUGAGACACGGUCCAGACUCCUACGGGAGGCAGCAGUGGGGAAUAUUGGACAAUGGGCGCAAGCCUGAUCCAGCCAUACCGCGUGGGUGAAGAAGGCCUUCGGGUUGUAAAGCCCUUUUGUUGGGAAAGAAAAGCAGCAGGUUAAUACCCCGCUGUUCUGACGGUACCCAAAGAAUAGGCACCGGCUAACUUCGUG